GCCCUUCGACCCCACCUUCCUGCUCAGCUGUGCGACAUCCAACAUCAUCUGCUCCAUCGUCUUUGGAACCCACUUUGAUUACCACGAUGAGAGGUUUCUAGCCCUCAUGGACAUGAUGAACGAGGACUUCAAGAUUUUUAGCUCUCCUUGGGGACAGCUCUGCAAUAUCUUCCCAGCUUUAAUGAACAUCAUUCCUGGGCCUCACCAGACACUAGAGACAAUAGUCCAAAAGAUGGAAGAUUUUAUUUUGGAGGCAACUGAACAGCAUAAGGAUACACUUGAUCCCAACGCUCCACGGGAUUUCAUUGACUGCUUUCUCAUUAAAAUGGAACAGG